UCGCCAUUUCCCGGUCGAAAAUCGUAGCGUUAAGAUAUGUCAACAAAGUUUCGUCUGCGUUACACGGCGUCACUCGACUGCGUAGUUAUUUUCUUGCUGAUUAUACAUCAUUAUUAGAUCGUUGUUAGACCACAGAAAUGAUUUCGAAAGAAUAGAACGUCAAGGUGAUUAAUGAUCCAUUCGAUGAGAAUUGAAUGCAGAUAAUCUGAUUGACAGAUUUGAUUUGCUGUAACAAAGGCUGAUAGAACUUUUGUGACCGCGUGCAAUGCGGUCGAUAAAAUCAGUGUUUGCUGUGUAGGAUGUAGGAUCUUGAGCGUUUUUCAAGGUACAAUAGCUCUAAUUAAAUCUAAUUACGAUUGUCAUACGGCGAAAUUAGAAGUCAGUGUUUGUCUCAAGAGGAUCCAACCUCUCCAAAGCACCAACGAUAUCUCCGAGGCCUCCGCUGAUGACGACUUUCACGAUACAUCGUUCUUCUGGGAUAUUGUAGCAUCGAUGACAACAUUUUCUACAUCUUACGACAAAUGGGAGUAACGCGUUGGAAUACGGUGCAUUACAUAGCGCGAAUACUUUACGAAAGGUUUAGCAUAGAAUUUUUAGAAGAGACGAAAGAAACCGAGAAAGAGUCAAGUAGAAGACAAAAAUUGUUUGCAAUAGACGUGCAACGCAUUUUAUAGACGAAAUGAAAGUUAUUGUAUUUAGAGGUAAAUGUACGCGGAUAAUAAAGUAGCAGAUUGUCUGGA